AUUUAAGCAGUCCACUAGUUCAUUUGGUGGCACCUCCGAGUUGAGUUUGAGUUAACCCCGUCUCCAAUGGCUGCUCCCAAUUCCCAAUUGCCUGCCGUGUCCGGAAACCCUAACAUCGUGCCAAAGAAGGAAGAUGAAGAAGAGCAGGACGCUUUCGCUAUAGAGCGUGAAAGAUUAGCUCGAGAGUGCAAAGCCAUCGAGGAGAAGUAUCUGAAGGAGGAAGCCGUACGCUUCAAGAAGUAUGAAGCUGAUAUGAGACAAGAGUUGAUUGAAACAUAUUUUUCAGAUAAAGAUAUUUUUGGAGAUAAAAUAUUCGAGGAAACUGGCAUAGAUGGUAUAAAGGCAGCCAGGUAUGCUGGCACAGAAUCGUAUGCAGACCCAAUUGCUUAUCUCCAGAAAAAGGAAGCCUUUGCCAAAUCCGCAGCAAAUACCUCAACUGGCCAUUGUUGGUAUAUUCAAGUUGAAGCAUGAUGGUUAUAAACACAAGAGGGAAGUUCUUCUAUUGCUGCUAACAAGUAAAAAAACAAAAUCAGUUCAUGUAAUUGCACCAAAUAAUGACAGCAGGGGGGUCGACCAUUAUCAUGAGAUAGGAGCCAAUCAAAAUGAUCCAAGCACAAAAUUUUCCGCGCUUAGCAUGUGCUCAUGGGCACACCAUAGAAAAACCGUUUUUAUUUUAUUUUAUUAUUCCCCCCUGAACAACGAUUUUCUCGUAUACUAUUGCUCAGAAUCUAUACACCGUUUUUCUAA